rnacentral:rRNA from 1 species
UACGUAGGGGGCAAGCGUUGUCCGGAAUCAUUGGGCGUAAAGAGCGUGUAGGUGGCUCGGUAAGUCCGCUGUAAAAGUCCAGGGCUCAACCCUGGAAAGCCGGUGGAAACUGUCGAGCUAGAGUCCGGAAGAGGCGAGUGGAAUUCCUGGUGUAGCGGUGAAAUGCGCAGAUAUCAGGAGGAACACCAAUGGCGAAGGCAGCUCGCUGGGACGGUACUGACACUGAGACGCGAAAGCGUGGGGAGCAGACAGG